CUGAGCUAGCAGCUGUGACUGUUUUCUGCAGACGUGGAAGAAAUCCCACUCGUAACAUGAAUCUUGCAGUUGCUGGCAGAAGACACAAGACUCCUGGGUCAGAGACAAAGGACUGCGUGACUCGGAGCUCAGGCAGAAAGAAGUAUGGACAUGAUGACCAUGUCAGUUCCCCUGCUCCCCAACAACUACGGGAUGAAGUGGAUGAAAAGCAAGGUGCUACAAAGAGCGCAUGUGAGAGAACAUAAGCAGGG